rnacentral:ncRNA from 2 species
CCCAUCGCAGAGGGAGAACCGGCUUUGCCGGUGCCGAAGGAGCAACCGCCCCGGAAACUCUCAGGCCCACGGACCUUUGCGGACGC